GGCGAACGCUGGCGGCGUGCCUAAUACAUGCAAGUAGAACGCUGAAGGAGGAGCUUGCUCUUCUGGAUGAGUUGCGAACGGGUGAGUAACGCGUAGGUAACCUGCCUGGUAGCGGGGGAUAACUAUUGGAAACGAUAGCUAAUACCGCAUAAGAGUAGAUGUUGCAUGACAUUUGCUUAAAAGGUGCAAUUGCAUCACUACCAGAUGGACCUGCGUUGUAUUAGCUAGUUGGUGGGGUAACGGCUCACCAAGGCGACGAUACAUAGCCGACCUGAGAGGGUGAUCGGCCACACUGGGACUGAGACACGGCCCAGACUCCUACGGGAGGCAGCAGUAGGGAAUCUUCGGCAAUGGACGGAAGUCUGACCGAGCAACGCCGCGUGAGUGAAGAAGGUUUUCGGAUCGUAAAGCUCUGUUGUAAGAGAAGAACGAGUGUGAGAGUGGAAAGUUCACACUGUGACGGUAUCUUACCAGAAAGGGACGGCUAACUACGU
rnacentral:rRNA from 1 species